rnacentral:rRNA from 1 species
UACAGAGGUCUCAAGCGUUGUUCGGAUUCAUUGGGCGUAAAGGGUGCGUAGGCGGCGCGGUAAGUCGGGUGUGAAAUCUCGGAGCUUAACUCCGAAACUGCAUUCGAUACUGCCGUGCUUGAGGACUGGAGAGGAGACUGGAAUUUACGGUGUAGCGGUGAAAUGCGUAGAUAUCGGAAGGAACAUCAGUGGCGAAAGCGGCUCACUGGCUCAUUUCUGACGCUCAGGCGCGACAGCGUGGGGAUCAAACAGG